rnacentral:lncRNA from 1 species
AGUCAUAGUUGGAUCAUGCCGUGACACUAAAUCAAGCAUUUUUUUGGAGGCAAUCCAAGUUAAGUAGGUACAUUUUAUUUUUAGUAUUUUAGUUUUUACUUUAUAUUGUUUUUGUUUUUGUUGAGUCAGGUUGAUGGAAAGUAUAAGUACUGAUAAACAUGAUCUAAAGAGAAUGACAAAGACUAAGAGUGGGGUCUCUGAACACCUUUGAUGUAUAAAAAUACAGCUAACUAGGCCUAG